UUGUUGCAAUGUUGGGGUCUGAAAUAACACUUCUGGAGGCUGCGGCUGAGCACCACAGCUGAUGCCAUCUUGUAUUGUUUGUUAUUAAUUACCUAGCAUGAUCCACAAAGAAGGAAAAGUAACAAAGAGCUUGAAGACUUUCAUGGCUCCCAGGCCCUGGAUGGAGGCAGGCGGCCUCAGACAGGCAGAACCAAGGAGGUGCCCGUGACUGCACAGCCCAGCCCCAUCAGCAGAGACAAAUAAUGACUUCUGAAACAUUUCAAAAUCAAAAAGUUAAAACGAUGUUUCAGUGAUGCUACAUCUUGCCAGACACGGGCUAAUGGUUUGAAGAUAUUGGCCUAGCAAGAUGGCAACGAGCUUAAAAAAUAGGAUUCCUAAGAAGUUACUUUUCUCAGACAUCUCAAACCCCCAAACGAGAGAAGAUACUGAGGCCUGUUGCCACAAACCCGUAGAUCCGAACUUGUGGUGAUAGUCCGCACAAGCUUGUGUCUAUAGGUAUGUGUCUGUUAGGCAAUCUCACAGACCGCGGGUUUUGCCUGUAUGCCUACCCAGUCCCCCUUCCCAUCCCUUUCAUGUCCCGUCUUCCCCUUAGAGUCCUUUAAGAGUGGUAGAAAUGGAAGGAAG